rnacentral:lncRNA from 1 species
CGAGCUCUAGCGGUUCGAGUUCUGAAGGAAGCGAAGCUCCAGCCCCGUCUCAAUCCCCGGAGUCCAGCCCCGAAGCCCGCGGACCGGCACUGCCGCAGCAGCUAAAGUCCAGCCUCAGGCCGCACGAAAGUCAGGAGAUUGUGUACGUACUCUCGAAUCCAGGCCAGCAGGUGUCAGCUUCAAACAGGAUAGCCAAGAAAUCAGA